UGGGGAAUUUUGCACAAUGGGGGAAACCCUGAUGCAGCGACGCCGCGUGAUUUAGAAGGCCUUCGGGUUGUAAAAAUCUUUUAUAUGGGAAGAUAAUGACGGUACCAUAAGAAAAAGCCCCGGCUAACUACGUGCCAGCAGCCGCGGUAAUACGUAGGGGGCUAGCGUUGUCCGGAAUCACUGGGCGUAAAGGGUUCGCAGGCGGAAAUGCAAGUCAGGUGUAAAAGGCAGUAGCUUAACUACUGUAAGCAUUUGAAACUGCAUAUCUUGAGAAGAGUAGAGGUAAGUGGAAUUUUUAGUGUAGCGGUGAAAUGCGUAGAUAUUAAAAAGAAUACCGGUGGCGAAGGCGACUUACUGGGCUCAUUCUGACGCUGAGGAACGAAAGCGUGGGUAGCAAACAGG
rnacentral:rRNA from 1 species